AUGACUGAUUCGUCGAUCCGCCGAGAUUUCGGCACUUCUCCUUCCAACCGUCGCCCUCCGACUUUCCGCUCCCCGAUGAGAACUCUGUGAAAAGAUCCAAGUCGGUAAAUCGGCUCGUGACUGUAGAGGUGAAACAGAGAAUGGAAUUAGAAUUGGAGAAGAAUGGAUGGAACGAGAGGGAUAAAACCUGAAAAUAAAAGUACAUGAUAAUCGAACGUAAAAUAAUUAUUAAUAUAAUCGUUUAUAACGAGGAAGAAAUUAGGUAAUCGAUGAAAAAAAAAUAACGAAAAUAAAACGAAAAUAGCUAUCGUACCAUUCUCUUUUUUCUUUUUUUUUUUAUCCAAUAAAAAUUUUCGACGGAUAAUACAAUUCAUGAGAAAAUCCAUCGAUCCAACGUGCGCUGAAAACUCUUAAAGAAAAUAAAAAAAGGAGAAAAAUGGGAGGGGAGAAAAGGAGGGAAGAAACGAAUUCAUCCAAUGUUAUUCGUUACUUUCGGUUACUUUCGUCCGAUGCGUCCUCACUGGGAUGCACUGGAAAGUUUCCAAAACGAGAAUAUCGGACGAAUUCGUGAGGAAGACAAAUGGAUGGCAAUAACGCAGAAUUCGUGUACCGAAUCUGUCGUGCAAUUAGACUCUACAGUUGCUAUACAAAAUUCGAUUCUCGUUGCGAGAAACGAGAUAUUCUGGCAUCAAUCUAAUUUUAUACGUUACAUCGGUAUAGAUUGAAUAGGUAGAAGUCGUUUCUCGCAACGCAAUGACAACAAAGAAUAAAGAUAUAAUAAUAACAAUACAAAAAAAAAAACAAAAACAAAAGAAGAAAGUGGCCAAGUUGAAUAGCUUGUAAAAAAAAUCAAAGUUGAAUGCAACGAACAAACCAUGUACAUAUAUAUAUAUUUAUCUUUUCUUUUUCUCCAAAUAUUUCGCUUUGCUUCAUUGUCCGGACAAGUAAAAAUAAUAAUAAUAAAUCAACAAUACGCGUACGCAACAUGCAAAACAAAAGUCCAUAAAAAAUAAUAAUCGCUGACUUCCUGUUGCGAUUGGCUUCUCGAGUAGCCCGGAACAUUGAUUCUUUUUCUCUUAUCGAUACACGUGUAUUAUAUUAUAUUACAUUACAUACAACAAGGAUAAUAAUAGAUCGAAAAAUUUGUUGUUGUUAUUGUCGUUGUUGUCGAGAAAAAAAAACAAAACAAAACAAACGUUCGUUUCUUUACUCGAAGAAGCCACGAAACGAAGGAAAUAUCUUAACAUCUAAAGAUCGUCCGUGGCCAAUGGUCCUGUUGCCGAUCGUUCCUUGCCCGACCACGCUCGACCGCGAUUCUUUACGACAAAAACAAAGGUGGCUCGUGUUUCAACGAGGGCCAUUUAAAAUAUAAUUUCGCUCGAAGGCGGUUAUUUCUUAUUCUCGUCGUCGAGGCAACGAUCGUCGAUCCAGUAACCAUCGGCCAGAUGAUGCCAAACGCAUCCACACGAUCGCUAAAAAAAAAAAAAAAAAAAGAACGAAUAACUAAAUAAAAGUAAUUUUUGGCUAAGAGUAACGGUGCUUCGUAAUGAGUGCGGGAAUCUUUCGAAUUUGGUGUGUAACGUGUGUGUGUGUAUGUACGUGUGUACGUGUGUGUAUGGACAUAAUAUCGAUAUACACAAAGGGGGGGAGAAAGGCAAUGGGUCGAUCUUUCGAGUGACUAAUGAGAAAUUUCUACGUGAGAACACGGCUGUGGAACGUAGUAACGAGAGAGAAAAAAGAAAACAAAUAUACAACGAUUAAAUAGAUCAAAGAGGAAAGAGAAUAUUUUCAAAAAAACGAGAAGAGGAGGAAGAAGAAGAACAAGAAGAAGAAGAAGAAAAAGAAGAAACGAUUGUAUAGAUAACUCGUGGCGAAUUAAUUAAUCGCACGAGUGACGAAUCCUUCGUUUCGAACUAACACUCUUAUGGCACUUUGAUGACAAUUCCUCGCUUUUAGAAAACAUCCUCGAAACUAGCCGAGAAAUACGGAUAGAGAUUUGCGUGCAAAAAUUGAUUGACAAGCGAGUCUCUGACUCCCAUUCACAACUCACGUUCCACAUACGUGCGACAAUAAUAAACGCAUAUAUAAUAAUAAUAAUAAUAAUAAUAAUAAUAAUAGCAAUAAUAGCAAUAAUAAUAAUAAUAAUAAUAAUAAUAAUAGUAAUAAUAAUAAUAAUAAUAAUAAUAAUAAUAAUAAUAAUAAUAAUAAUAACGGACAAUAAUAAUAAUAACGAGAGGGGAAAGGGGAAAAAACACAACGAAAGAAAAAAAAAUCAAAUAAACAUUCUACUGCGUACUGUGUAUACAACUGGCGCUGUUAAUCGUUUAUGGUAAUUACCUUCUUUCCCGAGUUUCGAUUAAUCCGCUUACUUUCCUUGACAAGCAUGUAUAUACGUAUAUAUUAGAAGACAAAGUCCAGGUCACUAAUUUAUGAUUGACUUUUUUUUUUUUUUUUCCGUUACAACGGAUAGUUCACGCGCAACGAUCUCUCUUCGAUCACUGUUUUCUUUUUCUUUUUUUUUUUUCGUUUCGAAAAAAAUAAAAUCACCGGUGAUAUAAAAUACUCGAAGUAUCUUUCUCUCUCUCUCUUUCUCUUUUUCUUUUUUCGUAAUGAUGCGUUAAGGAGAAAAAGAAGAAAAAAAAAAAAAAAGAGAAAAAAAGAAAUGUUAUUUCAGUCGUAAAUAUCAUACGACGAAAUUAAAUCGGUAAAUGUAUAUGUAUAAAAUUAAAAGUGACGUAACAGCUGAAAUUUACUAAAGUGUUAUUGCAGUUAAUGGAUGAAGCUUCGUACAAGAAACUCGCUAGAUUUUCGCGCGAAUAAAGACAAAUCCUUGAUGUGUACGCAUGUAACGUGUUAUUAUCACAAGGAGAAACAAUACGAUCGAUCUUUUUCCUUUUUUUUUUUUUCCCAAACAAGUUUAAACAAUAAGAGACGCUAGUUGUUUUUUUCGAGAGAAAAAAAAAAAAAUUCUGUCGAACAAUCAACAACUCUCUUUUCUCUUUCACUCGUUAAAACACAAUUGCUUUACUUUUUUUUUCUUUCUUUUUUUUAUCUUUCGAUGCGCUAUUUUGUACGUUGGAUUUUACGCCAAAUACGAUUUUUCGAGAUCUUUCCAAUUCUCUCGAAAUGCGAUUCCUCGCGUUUGAUUUAAAUGCUUCGAUUUAAACACACAUUAUACUCGUGGGCAAACGCUGUAUGCCUACUACGCGGCGAGAGCGGAUCUCGUAAAAUCGAACAGGCAGGCAGGCACGCACACGAAUUUUUAAAAGAAGAGAGAAAAAAAAAAAAAGUACGUCUCUAAAAAAGUGAGUAUGCAUUGCGCGCGCAACAACGGAUACUGUGAAUGUAUGAGACAAAAAAAAGUCGGUACACAGCGAGACUUAAAAAUCUUUCAAUUACAAUCUAUUGAACACCGUUCUUUUUAUUAUCGAUAGUCAUAAUCAAACAAUCAGUGCAUAUAAAAUAUACUAAGACUACCCAGCGUCAGAAAAGACUCGUCUUCUCUAAAAAGUUUCCCUAUAAAAUUUCAUCUUGUUUCAUUAUUAUUACUUCUUUUAUUUUUCUCUCUCUCUCACUUUCUCUCCCUCUCUCUCUCUCUCUCUCUCUUUAAUAAUUAUUAUUAUUAUUAUUUUUCCUUUAUUUAACGCUCGUUAUUUCAACGACAAGGUCUCACUUAUUUGGCACUAGAUUGCGAUCAUCGGGCGCGCUUUUUUUUUCUUUCUUCCUCUUGCUUUUCUUUUAAAAAAAGGGAUAUACACACGCGCGCGCAUGCGCGCCUACGAUCGCGGGCUUCGAUAACAAUUUAUUUCUUCUUCUUCUUCUUUCUUUCUUUCUUUCUUUCUUUCUUUUUUUCCUCCGUUUUUUCCUUCCUUCUUAUUACUUUUCUUUUCUUCAUCGUCGUUUUUUAUUUUAUGUCGCUUAAAAAGGCACCAAAUCGGGGAUUACACCGCUACGUAUUUAUUAUUGGAUCCCACUGAAGUACGUUAAUUCAACGUAUAUAAUAUAAUAAAGUUAAAAGUCAACCACGUAUUUCUCCCUUCUUUUCUUUCCUUUUCUUUUCUUUUCUUUUCUUUCUUUCUUUCUUUCUUUCUAUUUUUUCUCUCUCUCUCUUUCUUUUUUUUAACUCUCAUUUUCUGACGCAUCAUUUCAAAAACUGCAACGACGUUAAUAGGUAUUAUCAACUAGCGCUAAAAUAUAUUCGAUAUAACUUUUGUUUAUAUAUAUAUAUAAUAUAUAAUAAUAAUAAUAAUAAUAAUAAUAAUAAUAAUAAUAAUAAUAAUCGUAAUAAUAUUAAUAAUAAUAAUAAUCGCAAUAAUAAUAUUAAUAAUAAUAAUAAUAAUAAUCAUCGCAAUAAUAAUAAUAAUGUGUGUAUAUAUAUAUAUAUGUAUGUAUAUAUAUUUAUAAAUAUACAUAUAUAUAUACCAUCUUUACGCCAGUCGCGUACUUUGUAUAUGUGUUUCUCUCUGUAUACGUGUCUGUGUACAUAUGCGUGUAAUUUAUUUGCUUGAUAAUAAACUAUGAUUCUUUUCUUUUUUUUUUUUUUAAUAUAUAUAUAUAUAUAUAUGUUUAUGUAUAUAUAUAUAUUUAUAUUUAAUAUAUAUAUAUAUUAAAAUCUAUCCGAUAGAGUACAGUCUGCUUUUUAAGCCUCGUAAUUUAUCUCUUUCUCUCUCUCUCUCUCUCUCUCUUUCUCUCUUUCUUUCUCUCUCUCUCCCUCUCUUUCUCUCUGUCCCUCUCUCGCGAUGGCCUCUUGCAAGAGCGGCUAUGUUAUACAUAUAUAUAUAUAUAUAUAUAUCUAUAUAUAUAUGUAUAUAUAUGCCGAUAUAAUAUAUAAUAGCGCGUGGAAAAUAGAAAAAUAAAAGUAGAAAUAAUAAUAUAAAAAAAAAAAAAGAAAAAAAAAAGGAAAAGAAAAACUUAGAAGAAGAAUCGGUAUGAUAUUGACUGCUGCCCCCCUCCCUCCCCUCUCCUUCGCCUUCGAAAUAAGAGGCGAACGAAAGAGACGAGAAAAGUGUAUCGUUUGUCCGCCAUUGCAAGGGCCAUAUAUAAAUAUAAUAUAAUAUAUAUAAUCUAUGUAAAAUUUUUCUUGCUUCUCGUAUUUCUUCUUUUCCCCCACACAACCCACCCGCAAUGUCCGUAGACUUAUAAAUUAAUUAAAAAUAUAUUCAACGUGAAAACUCAUUGCAACGAGACCACCUCGAUCCUAACCGCGAUUAGCGUGAGAAAUUCGCUUGUGCUUCGAGUAAAAAUUCAUUUUAAAAAACAGGUAGAAGACAGUUGCAGAUAUAUAUAUAAUUCUAAUUCGUAAUUUUCUCAUUCGACCUGAUUGUAAUUUUAUAUAUAUAUAUUUUUUUUCUCUCUCUCUCUCUCUUUCUUUCUCUUUCUUUUUCUUCUUCGCAAGAUUUUUAAUUUUGCCUUACUUCUUUUUUUUUCUUUUUCUUUUUUUUUCUUUUUUUUUCUUUUCUUUUCCCCCCUUUUUUUUUUUUUUUUUUUUUUUUGGUAAACACGUAUGCGCGUAGCACAAGUACAAGGUACUCUCUUACAAGCAAUUCCUCGAUAAAACACUUGAACGUGUUUCGUUUUAUUUUACUUUAUUUUAUUUUAAUAUUAUUAUUAUUUUUUUUUUUUUUUCCCCGCUAUGAACACUUUUUACAAUUUGAACACUAAAUUUUGUACGAAUACAAGGAUCUCGUAUCGUUACAACCUUAAUCCUUAUAUAAGAACACCACCUCGAACUUCCGAACUUCCUACUAAUAACUUUUACUGAUUGGCAACAUGAAUUUCCACUUUUUUUUUUUUUCUUUUUUUUUUUACAACCUUAAGUCUAAAAAGUUCAACAACAUUUAAAAGGCAACGAACGUGAGCGAAUGUAGUACGAUUAGAUUUUUCGUAGCAAGCUUCAAGAUUGCUAAAAAAUUUCAACAAUUUUACUUUUAGGUAUCAGUUUUACCCUGAUCACGAGCCUUGAGAUACCAUUUAGAGAAAAAAAAAAAAAAAAAAAAAAAAAAAGAAAAAAAAAGGAAUUCGAUGUAAGUAGAGAUAUUACGGGCUCGACUCGUGUACGCGUUAUUACGAUCGUUGUACACUCUUUUGUCCCUUUCUUUUGUCCAAAUGCUCUGCAACUAUCUUUAUAUAAAACUUUAACGACGGAUAAAAACAUUUAAAAAUAUCAUCUUUCUUUCUUUCUUUCUUUCUUUCUUUCUUUUUCUUUCUUCUUUUUUUUUCUUUCUUUCUUUCUUUCUUUCUUUCUUUUUGCGUACCUCAACAACGAUUAAAAUAUAUAUUCAACAGAACAAUAUUAUAUAUUAUGCGAGAAAAUUAAAAUUAAAAAAAAAAAAAAAAGAAAAAAAAAGAAAAAACGCAUGGUCAACAAAGAUCGGCUCACAAAAAAAAAAAAAAAUGUUUCGGCUUCUUCUUUCGAGCGAUUUCUCACGUAAAAGUCGACUAGGGUAAACUAACGCUCCUUUCUUUCCUUUUUAACGGACGAAUAAAAUUAGAUUUCCCAAACGAGCUAUCACGGAAAGCCCCCGAUAACGAGAGGGGGAAAAAAAUUAAAAAAAAAAAAAAAAAGGAAAAAAAAAAAUUAAAAAAGAAAAAUCAUGAUCUAAAAAUCAUCUCUCUUGGUCUAUCGUUUAAAAAGUAAGGGAAAAACCUGAUCUGAUGAACCUAACUGAUUUGAUAUCGUUAUCAAAUUUUGGCAUUGUUAUCGAUUUUAUGUUUUUUUUUUCUUUUUCUUUCUUUCUCUUUUUUUUUUUUUCUUUUUUUUCUUUUCUUUAGGCGAUCCGAGAGCUCUGUUCCGCUGUUACUUACCAUUCUUUUUUUUUUUUUUUUUUCUCUUUUUUCUUUUUUCACAAUCGACACACUUUUCUGCCACACGAAUCUUUCCUUCUUUGCCUGCCAUCUAAAAUUGAGUUAGUCUUAGCCUCUCAGUGAUUAUCAAAUGUGAGUGUAUUAUUUUAUUAAUUAUUAUUUUGUUUCCUCUUUAAAUCGAUAUAAGCUGUUUAGCCGCUGCCUCUUUGCACUUGUUUCCAUUUUCUCUCUCUUUAAUAUAAUAUUCAUAUAUAUAUAUAUAUCAAUUAUUUAUCGAUAAUCCCCUUCUUUUCUCUCAAGAUUUUUUUUUUUUUUUUGGACGGGCUUUGCGUUCAAACCCAUCGCAAACGAACACAAUAACAAUAAAAUUUUCCCCAAAGAAGAAAAAAAAAAAAGAAAUAAAGACCGGCCUUCGACCGCUCUCCCAUUGGUUCAAUAAUUUUCUUUCUUUUUUUUCUUCGUGUCAAAAAAAAAAAAAAACAACAAACAAACAAAAAAGCAAAAAAAUAUAUAUAUAUAUAUAUAUACAUACAUAUACAUAUACACGCACACUAAUUUUUCCUCCCCCCCCGCCGAAAAUAAUCCACCGAAUUCCGAAACUCCGGUCGGUGGAUACUCUUUGGUCCAUAAAGAGUUUAAAAAUUUUGAAGAUAAUUGACCUGAGAGUAUGUGUAUAAUCGAUUCGCGAGUCAACGGCACGGUCCAUUACGAUCCGAAGAAAUCAUCGAAACAUCCGUGUGUAUAUAUAUAUAUUUUUUUUUUUUUUUCCCCCUUUAUAGAUUUCCUUCCCUCCCCAUCAUCGUUUCUUAUUAUAUUUUUUUUAAUUUUACCAUUUUUACUUUUACCUACUCCUCUAAAAUCAUUGCUGCCUGCCUAACUAAAUAAUUAUAAUUCUCUCUAUCUUCCUAAAAGUACGCGGAAAUUGUCGCGUCCGGAGGGGAAUAAUGCGAUCUCGCACGCGAUCGAUUUCCCCCGAUUAUAUCUUCCUUACAGCUAAAAAUUUUUCAUUUUAUUUCUUUGCAACGCUAGAUAUCCUCUUGAACAACGAACGAACAACACUGGUCAAUCGUGGGCAAUUUGUCGUGGGGACACGAGGAAAGAUCGUAAACGGGGUCACGUGUCCCCUUCUCUCUCUCUCUCUCUAUCUAUCCUCUUUUUCCUUCCAUUUUUUUUCUUCCUUCUCCUUUUUCUUUUUCCUCCGUCUGUUCCAUCUCCUUGGAAACAGUCCCACGCAUUUAAAAAUAACAACGAAGGUCUCCGUUUUACGAUUAUUAAUUAAUCAAUUAAUUAAUAGUAGCAGUAAUAAUAAUAAUAUUUAUAAUUAUAAUUAUAUAUUAUAUAGCCUCUAGUCGUCUAAAUGUCUAUGCCCAACUAGUGAAAAAAUUUGUAUAUAAAUCGUUUUCGCUUCCUCUCCGAAUUCAUCAUUGUUCCGUUCAUGAUACAAUAACAACUCGAUCUAUGAACGAAGAUCCGACUAGAGAGGAUUCGACAAAGUGUAAAGUGCAAAAUAUAGUAAGCUACAAUCGUAUUUUAGUGCUGUCUCUCACGACUAAGCCUAUAUACCAUCACUGUAGCCGUAUCCCUUUUGAACAGUAUAAUCGAUAAUCGACUCGACUGUAUAUUGGCGCGUGUAUAUACGCUGUAAUAAUAAUAGUCUUCGAGGAGAAAAAAAAAAAAAUUAAAAUGAAAA